AGCGAACGCUGGCGGCAGGCCUAACACAUGCAAGUCGAACGAAGUCUUCGGACUUAGUGGCGGACGGGUGAGUAACACGUGGGAACGUACCUUUUGGUUCGGAACAACUCAGGGAAACUUGAGCUAAUACCGGAUGAGCCCUUAGGGGGAAAGAUUUAUCGCCGAAAGAGCGGCCCGCGUUAGAUUAGCUAGUUGGUGAGGUAAAGGCUCACCAAGGCUACGAUCUAUAGCUGGUCUGAGAGGAUGAUCAGCCACACCGGGACUGUGACACGGCCCAGACUCCUACGGGAGGCAGCAGUGGGGAAUCUUGCGCAAUGGGCGAAAGCCUGACGCAGCCAUGCCGCGUGAAUGAUGAAGGUCUUAGGAUUGUAAAAUUCUUUUACCAGGGACGAUAAUGACGGUACCUGGAGAAAAAGCCCCGGCUAACUUCGUGCCAGCCGCCGCCGUAAAAC
rnacentral:rRNA from 1 species